rnacentral:rRNA from 1 species
AUACGAAGGGUGCAAGCGUUACUCGGAAUUACUGGGCGUAAAGCGUGCGUAGGUGGUUGUUUAAGUCUGUCGUGAAAGCCCUGGGCUCAACCUGGGAAUGGCGAUGGAAACUGGGCGACUAGAGUGUGGCAGAGGGUAGUGGAAUUCCUGGUGUAGCAGUGAAAUGCGUAGAGAUCAGGAGGAACAUCCGUGGCGAAGGCGACUUCCAGGGCCAACACUGACACUGAGGCACGAAAGCGUGGGGAGCAAACAGGAUUAGAUACCCUGGUAGUCCACGCCCUAAACGAUGCGAACUGGAUGUUGGGUGCAAUUUGGCACGCAGUAUCGAAGCUAACGCGUUAAGUUCGCCGCCUGGGGAGUACGGUCGCAAGACUGAAACUCAAAUGAAUUGACGGGG